ACUUUUUAAAGGAUAAAAGUAAUCCACUGGCCUUAGGAGCCAUUCAUCUGGUGCAACUCCAAGUAAAAGUA
rnacentral:tRNA from 1 species